rnacentral:rRNA from 1 species
UACGGAGGGUGCAAGCGUUAUCCGGAAUCAUUGGGUUUAAAGGGUCCGCAGGCGGACUUAUAAGUCAGUGGUGAAAUCCUACAGCUUAACUGUAGAACUGCCAUUGAUACUGUAAGUCUUGAAUUCGGUCGAAGUGGGCGGAAUAUGACAUGUAGCGGUGAAAUGCUUAGAUAUGUCAUAGAACACCGAUAGCGAAGGCAGCUCACUAGGCCUGGAUUGACGCUCAGGGACGAAAGCGUGGGGAGCAAACAGG